AUUGAACGCUGGCGGCAGGCCUAACACAUGCAAGUCGAGCGAGCGGCGGACGGGUGAGUAAUGUCUGGGAAACUGCCUGAUGGGGGGGGAUAACUCUUGGAAACGGUAUCUAAUACCGCAUACCAUCAGAUGUGCCCAUAUGGGGUUAGCUAGUAGGUGGGGUAACGGCUCACAUAGGCGACGAUCCCUAGCUGGUCUGAGAGGAUGACCAGCCACACUGGGACUGAGACACGGUCCAGACUCCUACGGGAGGCAGCAGUGGGGAAUAUUGCACAAUGGGCGCAAGCCUGAUGCAGCCAUGCCGCGUGUGUGAAGAAGGCCUUCGGGUUGUAAAGUACUUUCAGCGGGGAGGCGUUACCCGCAGAAGAAGCACCGGCUAACUCCGUGCCAGCAGCCGCGGUAAUAC
rnacentral:rRNA from 1 species